GAACCCACUCCUGGGCAGCUCCAGCGGGAAUGAGGGGGUCCCAGCCCAGGCAGGCGAGGAGCCCAGCGCUGGAACAUUCCUGUGCUGAUUCAAAGGAAACAGCUGACAACGACCUUGGCCACAGGAAGCCUUCCUAGGUCUCUCCCCUCAUCAGGAAGGAACUCCCCUUUUCGAAGCCCCUCGACACUCGGCACAGGACCUGGGCACCUCACACCAAGAAAGGACAGAGGACAAGACCCAACCACCUCGGAAGUGACUUACAAAUUAACAUGUAAAGUGACCCAAAUGCCCAUCGACGGAUGAUGGAUAAACACCACAUGGCCCCUCCACACACGGGAACAUCACUCAGCCACGAAAAGGGGUGAAGCCCUGACACUCGCUACCACGUGGACGGACCCUGAGAACACGACGCUCAGUGAGAGAAGCCAGACACAGAAGGACACACGGUGUGUGAUUCCACUGAUGGGAAAUGUCCAGAACAGGCAGAUCCACAGACACAGAGAGUGGGUUCCUGGUUGUCAGAGGCUGGGGAGGGGGAUGGAGAGUGACUGCUGAUGGG